rnacentral:misc_RNA from 1 species
GUGAGCAUUAACAAUAUCAGCCCAAUCCAAAAUCUGGAAGAUGCCACCUUCAUACUGCAUUGUUACAGUGUUACCAAUGUCUGCAAACUUGCGAUCUUCAAAAAUUAAGAAAUUAUACUUAUCUGCAAUCAAGCGAAGCUUUGAACCAAAAUCAGGGGUAAAAUCAGGUAAUAUGUCUACAUGGGUUUUCAUCAUGCAAAUCUCUGGUCCAACCUUCUCAGCAAGGUGGAGCAACUCUGCAGCAGUCCCAACAUCAGCAGCCAAACA